rnacentral:misc_RNA from 1 species
UAACGAGGAUUCCCAUAGUAACGGCGAGUGAACUGGGAAAAGCCCAGCGCUGAAUCUAAUAGCCACAGGCUAUUUAGAAUUGUAGCGUACAGGUGUAACAAUUCGAUUGUUUUACUCACCCAAAGUCCCCUUGAGUGGGGCUACAGUCCAAAGAAGGUGCUAGACCUGUACGGGUGGUGAAGCAGUUGAUGAAGUUACUCUUUGGAGUCGGGUUGCUUGGGAUUGCAGCCCAAAGAGGGUGGUAAACCUCAUCUAAGGCUAAAUAUGACCACGAGACCGAUAGCAAACAAGUACCGUGAGGGAAAGUUGCAAAGAACUUUGAAGAGAGAGUUCAAGAGGGCGUGAAACCGCUGAGAAGGAAACGGAUAGAGUUGACGAAAUCUAGCGGCAUUCAUCCAGUUGGGUCAGCGGCGCUACGGUUCUGAUCCUUGAAAAGGGUGGAAACGUGGCUUACUGUUGAUUGCUUUUGACUGGUGUAUUUGCUGCUGGUAUGCGCUGAGAGUUUUGAAGUCGUACGCUAGUGUCUAUUGAAGAGGACCAAACCUUCCGGGUUUGGAACCCUGCUUGGACUGAGGCGUAUUGGCUUUAGAACUUGUGUGUGCUAUCUCAGCUUUGGCGUAACGGUUAUCUUGUUGCAGGUGUAGCCAUCAGGCGGUCGCAUGCGACUUGUUUGUGGUUAUCACCUUGCCCUGAUAGUGCUGUUGCGUUGAGAUUAAGCCUCUCGGUGUGAAAGUCGACCACCUAUCUGACCCGU